CAGCAUGCAUGUUCCAUGUUCCUGCUCUAUUUCAUAGUGCAACAGCAUGUGUAAUAUGGCUGUGCAUGAGCUAGCCAAGAUCAGGUUAGUAAUUGGGAUAGUUGUGCACCAGCAGCAGCUGACCUGAAUCUUUCAAAUAUAGCGACGUGCACUGUAAGUCUGUAAGGCUACUUGACUCCACAUAGCUGAGUGAUCCACUCUAUGUAGGAGCUUCCUGUUAUUGCAGGUGUCUUUGACUCUACAUAUGUUUUAUCUGCUUAGAAGCUUUUGUGUGGCCUGGACAUUGGUUACAGGAGUAUUUUAACCCUGUACCAGGGAAACUGAUAGGAUUGAUUCGUUUGGGAAAAGAAUAAAAGCUUCUAGGGUGGCGAUUGCACCCUACUGCAGGAAUUUUCACAAUAUAUUUUUUAUCAAAUGAGAUGAAAAUUGGAUCAUUUUAUCCAAACAAGACUAUGCUUAGGAUCUUGCUCCUUCAGAGUAAUAUUCAAAUAUGACAAACUGUUCCUUUAUGUGAUUAAUCACAAAAAGUCACAUACAGAAGCGCAGGUUGAAUAUAAAAAACACAUGAUAUUAGGAGUUGGAUAGUUGUAUCUAUGAAUAAAUCGACUGUUAGCCCGUUGCAGGCUUGCAGCUAUGUUCCCAUCCGGCACGAGCUAGAGCGGUGAAUGUGUACCUUUUGGUAUGAAUAACUAGCUUAUACUCAUACAUGCCAUCUCACCUGUGUUUGUUUGAUUCUUGGGUGGAUGCAGCAAUGGCCAAUAGAGCCAAGGAAUCUCAAAGAUUGGCGGCAAACGGGUGCGGAGAAGGGAUAGAUCAGGUCGAAGCUAGAGUUCAAGCUGUGAGUGGGGCCAUGAGACACCAGAAGCUCCAGAGGCGGUGUUGAUGGCGUCUGCUCUAUUGCUGGUAUUGGCCUUGGACUACUUGCUAUUGCAGAUGAUGUUUGUGAGAACAAUGAGAUCAUUGACCAUGUACCCUGGGGUUGUUAGCGUUGGUCUGGCUAUGGCAAUGUGUUAACACAAGUGCUUUCAGUUUAUGGCAAGUAAAACUAAGUCUUUGAUAACAGCUUGUCAGUGUUUAUCUAUUAAUAUUUAUGUUGGUUGAUGUGGAUU